AUUACGUAAGUAAGUAAGAUCCCUGAGAGAAGAUCAGGUAGAUAGGAUGGAAGUGGAAGUACAGUGAUGUAUGGAGCGGACCAUUACUAAUCGAUCGAGGACUUAACC
rnacentral:rRNA from 1 species